CUCCCCUCCGGAAUACGGAGCUGGUAUCAGGCACAAUAAUCCGCCCAAAACACCUAGCAAUCGCCACGCCCACAAGGGACACAGCAGUGAUUAACAUUAGUAAUAAGUGCCAGCUUGACCUAGUCAAAGAACUUAGGGCCGGCAAAGCUGGUGCCAGCCGCCGCGGUUACACCAGAGGCCCAAAUUGAUUUUCCCCGGCGUAAAGCGUGAUUAAAGAUUCUCAACAAAUUAGAGUCAAAUCUGAACUAAGUUGUAGUAUGCUUGUUCAUGAGAAAUUCACAAACGAAAGUUACUCUAUUUCUAUAACUUGAAUCCACGAUAGCCAAGACACAAACUAGGAUUAGAUACCCUACUAUGCUUGGCCUUAAACCUUAAAUUACUUCACCUACCGCCUAGGAACUACGAGCAAUGCUUAAAACCUAAAGGACUUGACGGUACCCCACAUCCCCUUAGAGGAGCCUGUCCUAUAACCGAUAUUCCCCGUUUAACCUCACCACUUCUAGCUUAUCAGCCUGUAUACCUCCGUCCCAGCCCACCGUAUGAAUGAAUUAGUGGGCCCCAAUACCAUUAGCCGAUACAUCAGGUCAAGGUGCAGCAAAUGAAGUGGAAAGAGAUGGGCUACACUUUCUACUCUAGAAUAAACGGAAAGUCAGCAUGAAACCUGACCAGAAGGCGGAUUUAAUAGUAAAAGGAAAACAGAGUGUUCUUUUUAACUCGGCACUGGAGUGUGUACACACCGCCCGUCACCCUCUUCAAAACUAAAUAACAGUAUUUAACAAACCCUCGAUUAUAAGAAGAGGCAAGUCGUAACANNNNNNNNNNNNNNNNNNNNNNNNNNNNNNN
rnacentral:rRNA from 1 species